GGGGGAGUUAUCCAUUUGAUUUUUCUCCUGUUAACCUCUCUCAUGUCAUUUAAUUCUUAGACUAGCUAGAAGAACCUAGAAGGGUAAAGGAAAAUGUCUUCCUCUUUGACAUUAUACGGAAAUAUUUUUGUUCAGCCUUCUCUACUCAUGACCAACAGUAGCCUAGAGAGUUCUGCAAAGUGGAAGACUUCCUUGGAUGAGUCUUUGAUCUGGCUGGGAGCUAACCCACCGCGUCUAUCAAGUAUCACUGCAAUGGCACUCGCAUUUAUUGAGUGCUUUCUGAGAUGAAACACCAUGUAAAGUUCUUUAGCUGGAUGCUUUGAGCAAUUCCCACAACGCACCUUGGAUGACAGGUAUUAACAUUAGCAUCUCCAUUUUAUAGGUGAAUGAACUGAGAACCAGAGAGAAUGAGAAAUGGCAGAGAGAUAGGAUUUGAAUCUAGACAGUCCUACUCUCCUACUAUGCCCUUGUCUUUUAACCCCCAUACCUAGAGAAACCAAGAGAAAGAAGAUUCACCAUAUCAGAGUCACUCCAUCUAGCACUUACCUAGACUAGACUGUAAGCUCCCAGAGGCAGGAAUUAUGUCUUAUGGUUUUCCUGUACCUAGCCCAGUACAUGACACAGAAACCUCUGCAUGAUAAUUAUUGACGGAUGGAUUAUCCCUGUUCAAGUAGAGGAAAGCUCAUCAGAUUGACCUGAAAGUAUUAGCUCACCUGCAACAAAGCAGUGCCGUCUUCCUUUCUCUUUGAUGGUGUUAGAUUUAUCUUCUAAUAUUUUGUUUGAACAGGUGGCAGAUAUGCAAUUUCCUAGAACUCUGUGUGAACAGAAGAGGCUCUUUGCCAAGGGAUGGGCAGAGUUUCAAGGAACAUAGCAAAGGACAGUGCAGUCUUCCCAGGCUCGUGGCUUGAGGGGUGUCAUCACCCCUCUACUUGUUCCUGAAAUCAGGUGUGGCUGCUCACCACUUGAAAGCCAGUACUUGAGAGGCAAGUAUUCAUAGAAAAGAAAGGUUGCUGGGAGUUCCCGUCAUGGCUCAGUGGUAACGAACCUGACUAUAUCCAUGAGGACUUGGGUUUGAUCCCUGGCCUCACUCAAUGGGUCAAGGAUCCUUCAUUGCCAUGAGCUGUGGUGUAGGUCGCAGAUGUGGCUCAGACAGCUGAGGCUCCAAUUUGACCCCUAGCCUGGGAACUUCUAUGUCACAGUUUGGCCAUAAAAAGCAAUGACAACAACAACAACAACAACGAAACAGUUGUUUUAUUCAGGAGGCCAGCAGCCUGGGGAGAAGGUGGAC
rnacentral:lncRNA from 1 species